AAUAUUGCACAAUGGGGGAAACCCUGAUGCAGCCAUGCCGCGUGUGUGAAGAAGGCCUUCGGGUUGUAAAGCACUUUCAGUAGGGAGGAAGGUAGUGUAGUUAACACCUGCAUUAUUUGACGUUACCUACAGAAGAAGCACCGGCUAACUCCGUGCCAGCAGCCGCGGUAAUACGGAGGGUGCGAGCGUUAAUCGGAAUUACUGGGGCGUAAAGCGCAUGCAGGCGGCCUGUUAAGUCAGAUGUGAAAGCCCCGGGGCUUAACCUCGGAAUUGCAUUUGAAACUGGCAGGCUAGAGUCUUGUAGAGGGGGUAGAAUUUCAGGUGUAGCGGUGAAAUGCGUAGAGAUCUGAAGGAAUACCAGUGGCGAAGGCGGCCCCCUGGACAGAUACUGACACUCAGAUGCGAAAGCGUGGGGAGCAAACAGGAUUAGAUACCCUGGUAG
rnacentral:rRNA from 1 species